rnacentral:lncRNA from 1 species
UUAUGGAAGUUCCUAGACCUCGAAGCUAGGCUGUUCUUUCCCCCUUAUUCUUGCGUUAAUAAUAUUUUGGUGCUUUCAUUGAGCUCCAAUGGCUGCCUUCUAUGGCAGCCAUGCCAACCCACACCACCUGCCAAACCACCUCUUUCCAUGGUAUCCUCUCCACACAGCCAUCCACCAUUAAUCAUUUCUGCAAGACCCAUUCCUUUUGUUUCAUCACACACAUUCUCUUUAUGUACAUCCAGCUCAAUCCCUUGAGAUUGAUUUUGAGAGCACCCGUAAACGUUUGCUAGGCUUGUUUGGUAUCGAGGGAACUCUUCCUCCAUCAUCUCCCACCUUACCCCCAAAAAUGGAAAGCAAUUUCCACGUAGAUGUUGCAGACUCUAGCAGCAGAGGAGACAUUGCGGGACAACUUGUAACACCACUUCACCCUGCCUUGCCUCUUGAGAGCAUAAACAACUUCCAUUGUGGUAACAAUCUUCCACCUCUCGUGCUCGAGGUAGGGAACCACGUCGACAAGAAAGUCCCUUGUGAC